AGGACGAACGCUGGCGGCGUGCUUAACACAUGCAAGUCGAGCGGUAAGGCUCCUUCGGGAGUACACGAGCGGCGAACGGGUGAGUAACACGUGAGCAAUCUGCCCUUCACAUCGGGAUAACCCCCGGAAACGGGAGCUAAUACCGGAUACGACCACUUCAGGCAUCUGAUGGUGGUGGAAAGUUCUGGCGGUGAAGGAUGAGCUCGCGGCCUAUCAGCUUGUGGUGAGGUAAUGGCCCACCAAGGCUUCGACGGGUAGCCGGCCUAAGAGGGUGACCGGCCACGACUGGGACUGAGACACGGCCCAGACUCCUACGGGAGGCAGCAGUGGGGAAUAGUUGGACAAGUGGGCGAAAAGCCUGGAUCCAGCAACGCCGCGUGAGGAUGACGGCCUUCGGGUGUAAACCUCUUCAGUAUCGACGAAGCGCCUGUCGGUGGUGACGGUAGACUAC
rnacentral:rRNA from 1 species